UCCCGUCUGAUCUCGGAAGCUCAGCAGGGUCGGGCCUGGUUAGUACUUAGAUGGGAGACCACCUAGGAAGACCAGAUGCUAUAGGUG
rnacentral:rRNA from 1 species